UACGUAGGGCGCGAGCGUUGUCCGGAAUUAUUGGGCGUAAAGAGCUCGUAGGCGGCCUGUUGCGUCCGCUGUGAAAUCCCGGGGCUCAACCCUGGGCGUGCAGUGGAUACGGGCAGGCUGGAGGCAGGCAGGGGAGAACGGAAUUCCCGGUGUAGCGGUGAAAUGCGCAGAUAUCGGGAGGAACACCGGUGGCGAAGGCGGUUCUCUGGGCCGAUACUGACGCUGAGACGCGAAAGCGUGGGGAGCGAACAGG
rnacentral:rRNA from 1 species